UACGGAGGGUGCAAGCGUUAUCCGGAUUCACUGGGUUUAAAGGGUGCGUAGGUGGGCAAGUAAGUCAGUGGUGAAAUCUCCGGGCUUAACCCGGAAACUGCCAUUGAUACUAUUUGUCUUGAAUACUGUGGAGGUCAGCGGAAUAUGUCAUGUAGCGGUGAAAUGCUUAGAUAUGACAUAGAACACCAAUUGCGAAGGCAGCUGGCUACACAAACAUUGACACUGAGGCACGAAAGCGUGGGGAUCAAAACAGG
rnacentral:rRNA from 1 species